GUCCUUUUGGUAAUAAUUUAAGGUCUAAUCUGCCCACUGAGUAAUUAAAGGGCCGCGGUAUAUUGACCGUGCUAAGGUAGCAUAAUAAUUAGUUUUUUAAUUGAAAGCUGGUAUGAAUGAUUGGAUGAGAAAAUAACUGUCUCUGGUUAAAUUAAGAUGAAUUUUAUGAUUAAGUGAGAAAGCUUAAAUAAAUUUAAAAGACGAGAAGACCCUAUAGAGUUUUAUAUUAAAAUUAAUUAUAAUUUUUAGUAUUAUAAAAUAUAUUUGUUUAAAAUAUUUAAUUGGGGUGAUUAAAAAAUUAAUUAAACUUUUUUUAUUUUAAAACAUAAGUAAGUGAUUAUUUGAUCCAUUAAUAAUGAUUAUAAGAUUAAAUUACCUUAGGGAUAACAGCGUAAUUUUUUUAGAGAGUUCAAAUUGAUAAAAAGGAUUGCGACCUCGAUGUUGGAUUAAAAUAAAUUUAUGGUGUAGAAGCUAUAAAGAUUAGGUCUGUUCGACCUUUAAAAUUUUACAUGA
rnacentral:rRNA from 1 species